AACGAACGCUGGCGGCAGGCUUAACACAUGCAAGUCGAACGCAUCGCAAGAUGAGUGGCAGACGGGUGAGUAACGCGUGGGAAUCUACCCAUCUCUGCGGAAUAGCUCUGGGAAACUGGAACUAAUACCGCAUACGCACUACGGGGGAAAGAUUUAUCGGGGAUGGAUGAGCCCGCGUUGGAGUAGCUAGUUGGUGGGGUAAAGGCCUACCAAGGCGACGAUCCAUCGCUGGUCUGAGAGGAUGAUCAGCCCCAUUGGGACUUAGACUCUGCCCAAACUCCUACGGGAGGCAGCAGUGGGUAAUAUUGGACAAUGGGCGCAAGCCUGAUCCAGCCAUGCCGCGUGAGUGAUGAAGGCCUUAGGGUUGUAAAGCUCUUUCACCGAUGAAGAUAAUGACGGUAGUCGGAGAAGAAGCCCCGGCUAACUUCGUGCCAGCAGCCGCCGUAACAC
rnacentral:rRNA from 1 species